GGAUAGAGAUUAUUUUGCUGACACACAGAUUGGUGAGUCGGCAUAGAGAUAUACUUAUGCCGGAACAUGAGCGUCGGCAUAAGCAGGUCAGGCGUCAAUUUGAAAAUCUGAGGAAAUAAAUCUUCCCGCCUUCGCCUUUUUUCCCGAGGUUUCGAAAUAAUUCCUCCCCCUCUCCCUUUUUCGUUUGUCCUCUGCCUUCGCCACUCUCUCUCAUCACCCCCUUCCUCUCCACUCAUCCCUUCAGCUGCCAAUCCGUCUUUCCGUGAAGCCAUGGACUCGAAAACAGGUUCCAUCGAGGUUGACAAUGGCAGCGAGUUAAAAGCCCACGUCUUUCCAUCAUCAUCUGAGCUGCUGGAGAAGCUGGACGAGAAGUAGAGUGCAGUGAAGAAGAAGCCGUACCCUGCGAUGUACUCGAGCGUCUUUGGUGGGAUAAUACUUGACCCAGCAAUGAUGGUGCUCCCCGUAGAUGAUCGUAUGGUCCAUAGAGGACAUGGCGUGUUUGAUACAGCUAUAAAUUUAGAUGGCUACCUUUACGAGCUAGAUGUCCAUUUGGAUCGCUUCCUAAGAUCCGUGGCAAAAGCGAGGAUUUCCUCUGAUCCAGUGACUUGUUCUUUCACGGCAAGGUACUCGCAAAAGCAAGUGCUUAGCGUUGUUCGUGGCUCCAGCUUGGUUCUUGCAGAUUGGAUUACCAGCGGAUGAGAAGUAUGUGAUUUCAAUCUUUUACAAGAGCGCCAACAACAUAGUCUUACCAUACGGAAAUGACCUCCAUCUUCUUCCCAUUUUCUCAAAUAAGUUCAUGAUUUUUCUUUUAUUAUUUUGAUAUGUUUUGUUUUAUUUUUGAAAUUAAAAUAAUAUAUUUUUUUAUUUCUAAAAUGCCGCGUGGGUAUUUUUAUGGGAAUUAGAGGGGUAGAAGUAUAAAAAACAAAACCUUUAAUAUUAAAAAAAAUUGUACAAAAAAAGAAUUAGGAUAAAAAAAUAACUUUAGAAGGUUGGAAAUCAAAGUUAAAAUCUUCUUUAACGAUAAACUUGAUAAAAUGAUGAAAAUAGAAAAGUAACAAAAUGUAUGAGGUGAAAACGAAUCAAGAACAAAGAUUAUGAUUGAAACAGAAAAGUACUCAAAAGUAUAUGAUGUAAAUGAUAAAAUAAAAUAGAAAAAGUACUAAAAUAGAAAGACGUCCUAAUCUAGAAGACCAAAUAUAUAGAUUUCCCCUUAUUAUGGUAGGCGUGGAGCCUCAUCCACUAAUUUCCUCCUAUUAGAGAAUUCUCUGAGAUGCUUAGGGUUGCCCAUUUAUUAGAUUCAUAUAUAUAUGAGGCUGCAGAGAUCCGCUGCCUAACUAAUGCAGAUAGAAUUCGAUUCAUGCUUCGAAAACAGAUUAGUCAAUUCAAGUUCGAUUAAUCGAUUUAAAGUUGCAUUAUAGUAGUGA